rnacentral:rRNA from 1 species
UUCCUUUGAGUUUCAGCCUUGUUGACCAUACUCCCCAGGCGGAGCACUUAACACUUUCGCUUCUGUCGGAAACCUAUGGAGGAGCCUCCAACCUAGUGCUCAUCGUUUACAGCUAGGACUACCGGGGUAUCUAAUCCCGUUCGCUACCCUAGCUUUCGUGCCUCAGCGUCAGAAAAGACCCAGUGAGCCGCUUUCGCCACAGGUGUUCCUAAUGAUAUCAACGCAUUUCACCGCUCCACCAUUAGUUCCGCUCACCUCUAUCUUCCUCUAGCUUGGCAGUUUUGAGCGCAGUUCCUCGGUUGAGCCGAGGGAUUUCACACCCAACUUGUUCUUGUCUCCUACGCACCCUUUAAGCCCAGUGAUUCCGAAUAACGUUUGGACGGUUCGUCUUACCGCGGCUGCUGGCACGAACUUAGCCCGUCCUUCCUCUGGAGAUAGGUCAACUAUGGGGGAGAACCCCCAUAGAUUUCCUCCCAACUGACAGCGGUUUACAACCCGAAGGCCUUCAUCCCGCACGCGGCGUCGCUCCGUCAGGCUUUCGCCCAUUGCGGA